UACGAAGGGUGCAAGCGUUACUCGGAAUCACUGGGCGUAAAGCGUGCGUAGGCGGUUCGUUAAGUCUGUUGUGAAAGCCCUGGGCUCAACCUGGGAACUGCAGUGGAUACUGGCGAGCUAGAGUACGGUAGAGGAAGGUGGAAUUCCCGGUGUAGCGGUGAAAUGCGUAGAGAUCAGGAGGAACACCAAUAGCGAAGGCAGCUCGCUGGGACGUUACUGACACUGAGGCGCGAAAGCGUGGGGAGCGAACAGG
rnacentral:rRNA from 1 species